rnacentral:rRNA from 1 species
AUUGAACGCUGGCGGCAUGCUUUACACAUGCAAGUCGAACGGCAGCGCGGGCUUCUUCCUGGCGUCGAGUUGCGAACGGGUGAGUAAUUCAUCGGAACGUGCCCAGUAUUUGGGGAUAGCCCGGCUAAAGCCGGAUUAAUACCGCAUACGACCUUAUGUUGAAAGCGGUGGACCGAAAGGCCUCGCGCUAUUUGAUCGGCCGAUGUCGGAUUAGCUAGUUGGCUUGGUAAGGGCGUACCAAGGCGACGAUCCGUAGCCGGUCUGAGAGGACGACCAGCCACACUGGGACUGAGACACGGCCCAGACUCCUACGGGAGGCAGCAGUGGGGAAUUUUGGACAAUGGGGGCAACCCUGACCCAGCAACGCCGCGUGCGGGAAGAAGGCCUUCGGGUUGUAAACCGCUUUUGUUCGGGAAGAAAUCCUCUGGGCUAAUACACCGGGGGGAUGACGGUACCGGAAGAAUAAGCACCGGCUAACUACGUG